GUGGGAGGGGGCUUGCUCCCGAUUGCAGCGGGUCAGCUACAAAUAAAGUGACUGAUACACCGCUAUCGGGAGCAAGCCCCCUCCCAC
rnacentral:misc_RNA from 1 species